CCUUGCUGGCUACGGAACCCAUCGCUGGAACAGCUCUGACCAAGCUCCAAUACAGAUUUCAGCAUGUCAGGACCUUCUUUUGGAAUUCAUUGGCGGUCACUGCUGUAGUCCCAUAUUGACCUGAAUGAAGAGAGGCUGGCCUACAGUGUAAACCCCAGAAGACGAGAAAAGGAGACCCAAGGAGAAGCACCUGCUGCAGAGCUCCAGGUCCUACUCCAGGGAUGUGCGAUGCCCAGGUGCUGUACAGUCCCUGCCCUCUUCAGUUGUGCCAAAUGGUAGUUUUGUGUGCUGGCUAUUUCAAUGUCCUCCGCCAGCCUACGGGAGGAAAAACAAAGCUAACAGAAGGGUACACACACACAGACACACACACACACACACACACACAGAUAUAUACACACAUAAAUAAAAAUAUAUAAAUAAAUAGUCCAUAAAUAUAAGAAAAAACACAUGGACUUAGUCCCAUUUCUGGCACAAAGCUCCCCAAACCCUUCGAAUUUCCUCAGUGAUAAAAGAAAUAGAUGGAUCUUUCAUUUUAUUU